rnacentral:tRNA from 2 species
AAGGCUUUAGCUUAAUUAAAGUAUCUGUUUUGCAUACAGGAGAUGUGGGAUAAAGUCCCGCAAGUCUUA